rnacentral:lncRNA from 1 species
AAGAUUUGGGUAGAUUUGGGUAUUUCGUGCCACCGAUUGAUAACUUCAACUUGCGCGUUAAAUAUUUUACACGGAACCAGUCGAGUAAUACCCAACACAACUAAAAAUAAACACUGGAAUUCCACAAACUGUUCAUGUUUAAGCUACUUUCGGAUUGAUUGCUUUAUCUAAAAGAAUGAAAUGAAAGUGCUCCUGCAAUGCUCAUAUAGAUGGAAAUUUCAAAUUGGCUGCCUCUGUAUACAUAUAGAUGUUGUACAACUACAGGACUCUCAUUCUCACUCAAGUUGAUGGGUCAGUUGCACGAAUGGUAACUGUAAUUCACACUGGUCACGGGAAAAAGUGCCGCUGUGUGGGAAUCAAUUGUAGUUUCUCCGGAAAAGAUGUUACAGCCAGUGUAUGAAGACUGAACUUUUGAUAGGUCACAGGUGCUCUCGCAAAGACUGAUGGCCUGGCAGCAUAAACUAUUCUAUGGUUAUAAGGGUAAUGUCUUUAAACAGAAGCAUGCUGUUGUGGAGUGAAAGUGCACAAACCAUUGAUAACCCUUUGGAGAAUCAGUACCAGAUGUCUUUUCAAAUGUUUGCCAUUCUGAAGUUUUUUUUUGACUGAGCAGUGUCAAACAGUCUUCGGAUCCUAGAGAAUCAGUUCCUCCAAAUGAACAAAUCACCACAGUCAUAAAAAUUAUGGGCAGAGAUAUUUCAUGGAAGAGAGAUAACAUGACAAUACAAAAAUAGGUGUUGCAAUGGAUUCGGAGGUGAAGUCAUGAGUUGUUGUGAUGGCAGAAGAAUGAGUGAUCAUUUAGCAUUUUGCACAAGGGUGUACGAGUGGUCCAGUUAAACAGAGAUUACAAACAAUUAAAACUAUAAUUUGAUAUUACAUCUACUUGUGAUUGAUGAAAGUAAUUCAAAGUAUCAUUUGGACUGAUCUGAUGAGUUAACAAAUAUUUGAAAGUAUACGAGGAACAUUUUACACACCUUCAGUAUUAGUAUGUUGUAUAGUAAAUAUAAUAAACAAUUAAAGUUGAAAAACUGAACUGGUUUUCACUUGAUAUACAAAGAGGUAGAUUAGCAUGUUUAGAUUUGCCACUGAACAUGUGUUUCCAUUUCAUCAAUACUUCCUGUGGUUAAAGUAUUCUGAUCAAAUCUAUUUAUUUCCGGUUGAGCUAAUGUUUCUGCAACUUCAAAAAAGAAGAUUUGUUGUGUAACAAUGAAAUUAAUGAGUAGAUAUUAAUAUAUAAAAAAUGUAGGCUAAAGCACGACAUAUAAGAUACCCAAAUAGCAUCAACUAUGAUUAUUUCUUGGACUUGCUUCCUGAUUAACACCCCUUAUCUCCAAAUUAUAAUAACACUUUGAU